GCUUCAAAUAUGUUCUUGUCUUAUUCCAAAAUUAAGUUAAUGCAAAGCAGCACACAUAAGGGAGCAAUCUACUGCCUGAAAUUGUUUUUUUACCUACAGUUGUUGCAAGCAAUAUUGAAGGUUGAAAGACCAAAGAUUCUGGGAGUCUAAUCUAAGCAUUAGAUUAUGCCCCAGGAUAUUUCAUUGCAUUUCUCAUCUCUCCCCUGCAGAGUGAGUUUGGUUUGCUUGUUUAUGUGGGUGUUCAACAUCAACAGGAGGAAAAGACAUUUAAAAAAAUAGGACAAAUGUAAUAGAAUUUGCUUCACAAAAAACCUGUAAGAUGCUAGUUAAUAUUCCAGAAUAUCUGGGGGGAUUUGAGGAGGCAAGCAGAUUGAAAUAAGGUAUUAAGAUUAAAACAAUAAAAAACAACAGAUGGGACCUUGUACAUAAAUCAAACUACAUGCGAUAAGCAAAAGACAACUUAAAGCAAAAUGUGCUCCUGACACAUUUUUUGAAGUACAAUCUUUAAGAAAAGUUGUCGUAUAAAUAACAUCCUGAGGCUUCAGUGCCUCGCUGAUGUUAAGAUAACACAUUUUUGACAAACAAACCCUGUUCCUCAAUGCAACACUUAACUGCAUGCUUGAGAGAUGUUUCUACUGCGCGUUCAUGGCACACAUAAUUACCUGGGAGAAGUACGAGGUUAAUUUCUUUAGCAGCCAGUGCUAAGUUCACGUACAUGCGACAGGUUUUUUCCACACAUAGAGAUCAAUUUUCUGAACACGUUAAAUGACAGCAGCAACACUAAGCAAUAACCUUGUUGUGAGUGUCCAGCUGCUGAAGGAGAGGCGCAACUGGAGUCAAGCUUGGUUCACCAACAUGAGCUCUCACCAGCUGAGAGUGACCGGAACUGUUCUUGGGUUCUGUUGAGGGAGGAGAAUGAGCAGCAGAAAAGGCAUGUUGUCCACCACAUUUCUGAAUCUUUGGUUUUGGUAACAUUAGAGAGAAGUGGCCUAGUUCAUUUAAACAAGACACAGUUUAAUCUCCCCCGGGUGUCCUGCAAGAAAGAUGCUGAAUGAUAAUUUGUACAUAAUUCUUCCCCUCCAACAAUAAAACUUUCCUUCCUUUUAGGAAGCAAGUAAUUUUUCUUUAAAAUUAUCUUCCAAAAACUUUAUAUUUUUAGCACAUAUUUACAGAGCUUGCAAAUAUAAUACAGAGAUCUGUCUGUAUUUGUGUUGUGAAUAGAGAUGUAACAUGUUUCUGUAUUUCUAUGCUCAGGGCAGUAGAAUGGUUAUGAACCACAGCAGGAAACUCUUGUUUUACAAACACUAAACACUGAUUGCUCCUUCAAGCCAUCAGCGCAAUUUGUGUUCACCUCGCAUUCAGCCUGACUUUGGGAGAGCCGGAGAGCCAUCACUGAGAGAGAGGAUGUGACCUUUGAGAAGAUGAAGAAAGCAAAGCUAGGCAAAGCCCCAAGCCCCUCUGCUGUUAGCUGCCAAGGCCUCAUCCAAUGCUCAGCCAGGGUGUCAGGCUCACUCUGCUCGGUGGGAGCAUGCAGACAUCUCCAGCAGUCAUGGUCAUGACUAGGCUGAUGCCUUCAUAGUGACGAGCCUGCAAGUCGUCUCUUAUCCUUGGAGCAGAGACCAGUAAAUCCUUGGACUAGGUCUACUUUGGAGUCUUUCCAAAGAAGCCUCAACAGCCUGCCCAAAGCAGCAGGUUUGUGCAGCGGGAGUGGAAGGAAAGUGAUGCAGACGUCAGACCCUCAUGUGUUGCCUGGCUUCCCUGAACAUGCUUGCAACCUGCCUGGCAGCUCACAGAAACCCGUUUGCUGCAGGAGAAACCACAGCACGACAGCCACCCUGAACUGCAUGCUGGGCUACGCCUGUCUCCCCCAAGGAGAGGGGCAACUGCCUAAGCACACUUGCCUCAUGGCUGCAUGCUGAGGAAAAACUCCAUGUGCAAGAGCUGCUGCUCAGCUCUGCCAUACGCCAGCAUGGAGCCAGAGGUCUCCCAGCUGGCAUCCCACCAGGGGCGGAUCAUGAACCAACCUGCCCUUCCUCCUGCUUCCCUCCCUCCCUCCCCUAGCAGAGUUCAGUUCCUCUGCCUGCCUCCUGCACCCCAACCUGGAAUAGGGGAAGGCUUCCCAAGCCUGCAGCGUGUUGGCUGCUGCUGUUUUGCAACAGAAGAGCCUGUGAGCACUUCCUGUGGCUUGCUGCUAUGCUAGGGUCAACACGAUGCCCAAAUCAAGCCUUUUUGAUACUGCUGCUUUCUUCUCUUUGGCUGCAAAUACUUCAUAUUUCACUUACGGUCUCAGUUCAUGGCUUAUGUAAGCAGAUGAGGACUUCUGCUUGCCUGUGCCUUAAAAGCACAUUUCUAUCCCUCACGAUCACAGGGCAAAGCUCAAACACAUGAUUUACUUGCAUUCUGGUUUUCUAGAAGCUAACAAUAAAUAAAAUUAUCCUGCUUAA